rnacentral:rRNA from 1 species
AAUAUGAUACAAUGGGGGCAACCCUGAUCCAGCCAUGCCGCGUGUGUGAAGAAGGUCUUCGGAUCGUCCAGCACUUUAAGUUGGGAGGAAGGGCUUUAGGUUAAUUCCUUGUAGUUUUGACGUUACCAACACAAUAGGCACCGGCUACAUCUAUGCUAUAAGCCGCGGUAAUACAGUGGGUGCAAGCGUUAAUCGGAAUUACUGGGCGUAAAGCGCGCGUAGGUGGUUCAGUAAGAUGGGUGUGAAAUCCCCGGGCUUAACCUGGGAACUGCUUUCAUAACUGCUGAGCUAGAGUACGGUAGAGGGUAGUGGAAUUUCCUGUGUAGCGGUGAAAUGCGUAGAUAUAGGAAGGAACACCAGUGGCGAAGGCGACUACCUGGACUGAUACUGACACUGAGGUGCGAAAGCGUGGGGAGCAAAC